rnacentral:rRNA from 1 species
UACGGGGGGGGCAAGCGUUGUUCGGAAUUACUGGGCGUAAAGGGUGCGUAGGUGGCCUGAUAAGUUUGAUGUGAAAGCUCAGGGCUUAACCCUGAAAUGGCAUUGAAUACUGUCGGGCUGGAGGUUUGGAGGGGGGACUGGAAUUCUUGGUGUAGCAGUGAAAUGCGUAGAUAUCAAGAGGAACACCAGUGGCGAAGGCGGGUCCCUGGACAACACCUGACACUGAGGCACGAAAGCUAGGGGAGCAAACAGG